GUGGGGAAUUUUGGACAAUGGGCGCAAGCCUGAUCCAGCAAUGCCGCGUGCAGGAAGAAGGCCUUCGGGUUGUAAACUGCUUUUGUACGGAACGAAACGGUCCUGGUUAAUACCUGGGGCUAAUGACGGUACCGUAAGAAUAAGCACCGGCUAACUACGUGCCAGCAGCCGCGGUAAUACGUAGGGUGCGAGCGUUAAUCGGAAUUACUGGGCGUAAAGCGUGCGCAGGCGGUGCGGUAAGACAGGCGUGAAAUCCCCGGGCUCAACCUGGGAAUUGCGCUUGUGACUGCAGUGCUGGAGUACGGCAGAGGGGGAUGGAAUUCCGCGUGUAGCAGUGAAAUGCGUAGAUAUGCGGAGGAACACCGAUGGCGAAGGCAGUCCCCUGGGCCUGUACUGACGCUCAUGCACGAAAGCGUGGGGAGCAAACAGGAUUAGAAACCCGGGUAGUCC
rnacentral:rRNA from 1 species